rnacentral:rRNA from 1 species
CAGCAGCCACGGUAAUACAGAGGGUGCGAGCGUUAAUCGGAUUUACUGGGCGUAAAGCGUGCGUAGGCGGCUUUUUAAGUCGGAUGUGAAAUCCCUGAGCUUAACUUAGGAAUUGCAUUCGAUACUGGGAAGCUAGAGUAUGGGAGAGGAUGGUAGAAUUCCAGGUGUAGCGGUGAAAUGCGUAGAGAUCUGGAGGAAUACCGAUGGCGAAGGCAGCCAUCUGGCCUAAUACUGACGCUGAGGUACGAAAGCAUGGGGAGCAAACAGGAUUAGAUACCCCCGUAGUCACUGUCUCUUAUAC